UGCUGUUUAAAAUGAAUGGAUCUCUAUUUCAAGAUGGCAUGUCUAGUACACUUACGUGCACCGCCUCACAAGCACACUGAAAUGACAGAAAAGGUAAGAAAAUAGAUGCAUAGACAAAAGAUUACAGAGAAAGGUGCUAUUAACAAAUGUGUUAUGUUACAGUUUCUUGGAACUUCCCAAGCAGAUGGGAAUUAUGAAACCAAAAGAAAAAUGACAUUCAUAGAAGAAGAAAUAAAAUUUGCCAAUAAGGUUAUUAAUAGAUGUUUAACAUCACUAACUGGACAUACUGCCAGUUGAAACAAUGAUGGCUGGGUGCAGUGGCUCACACCUGUAAUUCCGGCACUUUGGGAGGCUGAGGCAGGAGGACUGUUUGAGCCCAAGAGUCUGAGACCAGCCUGGGCAACAUAGCGAAACCCUGUCUCUACAAAAAAUACAAAAAUUAGCUGGGUGUGGUGGUGUCUGCCUGUAGUCUUGGCUACUCAGGAGGCUAAGGUGGGAGGAUCACUUGAGCCCAGGAGGACAAGACUGCAGUGAGCCGUGACUGUGCCACUGCAUACCAGCUUGGGCAACAGAGCAGAGCUGUUUCAAAACAAAACAAAACAAAACAGAACAGAAGAACAGAACAGAACAGAACAGGACACAAUGAGAACAUUUUUCAUCCAUCCAAUUGGCAAAUAAUUUCUAGAGCUGGUGAGAAGAUGGGGAAAUUGGAAUGUUUGGUCCCCGCUGGUGGGUGUGUUGUUGGUACAGCAUUUUUGGAUGGCAAUUUGGCAGUAUCAAGAUUUUAGGUGAAUAUACUCUUAGACCUAACAACUUCUUCUUAGAACGAACCUACAAAAAAUAGACAAGGAUAAGUGCAACGAUGUUCACUGUGGCGUGGGUUAGUAACAAUAAAACCUCCUAAACAUCUGCCAAAGGAAUAAUGGUUAAAUAAGGUAUGGCACGUGCAGUCUGUGGAAUUCCAGGCAGUUAUUAUAGACAAUGAGCUGGAUCCAUGUGAACUGAUGGGGAAGGAUGUUCCCACUACAGAAUAUAAGCACAUGAGGGCAGGGUUUUGCAUUUGCUUCCUCCUGUCUCCCUAAUGCCUAGAACAGUGUCAGACACAUAGUGCAUGCUCAGAAAGUAUUUGUCAAAUGAAUGGAUACACUUUCUAGGACACUAUGAAUUAGGACAAUGGACUGAAAAAUAAGCAGAAAAUUUAAACACACCAGUGACCACAGUGCAACUGCAACUGACGAUCAGUUUCCACCAAACUGCAACAGAGAGAGUGGCUUUGCCGGUGAGUUCUGUCAAACUACUGUGUUAUUUAAACAUUAUUUGGCCUUACAACUAAGGUGAGGCCCUUGGGCCUCUACUGAAGGCCCAAUGUGUUCAACAAGGGCUCUCCAUGCUGCCUAAGGGAACACAUCUGAUUUGCAGCCCUGAAUGAACUCUGGGACUCAUUCAUCAUGCAUGUACUUUCCUCAGAAGUUGCUCUUACCCAGCCUUGCGGGGCUGCAGCCAGAUCUCCCACGAGUGGUAAUGUAACAUGAAAACAAUGAGCCACAUCUUCAAAAUUCCAAAGGAAAAUGACCCUCAACCUAGAGUUUCCUAUCUAGGCAAGUAUUAAUCAAGUGUAAGGGCAGAAUAAUGACACUUCCAGAUGAGAGGUAUACAAAUUUACCUUACCUGCACCCAUUUACAAGAAGCUAGUGAAGGUUGUGCUCUUUAAAACAUGAUGGAAUUUACCAAGAAAGAGGAGGACUUGGCUUAGGAAAGAGAAGAUCCAGUAGAGAAGGGGAGUGACAGGAAUCUGCAGGAAAUGAUGAAGGGCAAUCCCAGGAUGUUAGCUGCACACCAGAGAUGAGGAGACAGACUAGGACCCCUGCUCCAUUAGACCUCCAGGUCCCAAACACCAGGUGAGCCAGGGCCUUGGCCUGUCUUGCCCAUGGCUGAUGAAGUGUUGUACUCUCUAUCAAACCCUGCAGUCUGGGCCAGCUGAGGACUCUCCUUGGAACCCAAAGAAGCAGUUUGUUUCCACCUACUCCCAAGAGCUGAAGAUUAUAAGCCAGAAGCAAACAAAGGCAGGCAAGGAAAUUUGAGGUUGUUGCAUCUGGAAGUAAACAUGUAGCUACUUCUUCUAAUAAAACAGAGGGACACAUUUUGAUUACCUGAAAAAUUCAGUUCUAUCUUUUGAUUUGGUCUGGACACCUGGAGGUCAGCAACCGAGAGCAGGAAGGAGGCACAGCAACAACAGAACAACAACAAGAGGCUGCGACAGGGGCGGCGUGGGUCAAAAGGAAGCAACCUGGAGGACGGUCCUCCUUGCGGCUUGGAGCAGAGCUUCAGGUUGGGCACCACGACAGAGCUGGGCCAGAAGUCUAACACAGCCUGUUUGGAACACAACCCGGGAUACUUGUGUGGUUGGGUUCAGUCAGUCAAGGGAAACAAGAAGCUAACCCGUGGCUGGGAGUGUUCAUGCAAUGCUCGUGGAAUACUCAGCGCAAAGCCUGCCCGCAAGCACAAAGGGUAUCAAGGAAGAGUUAAAUGGGAAGUUGGGUCAUGGUGUGGAAUCAUAUUAAGCUCUUAGGUGCUCUGACCCUGGAGGAGAGGGAUUUCACUGAGAUGAGAAGGAUGCGUGAUGGGAUCCAUGGGCACUGGAGGCUUAUAUUUCCCUCUCAUGCCAUGCUCAAGUGAUGGGAGGGCAGAGGCAUGAGAGGGUGCUAAGGGACUAAACGCCAUGGCCACAGGAGCUCUGGCCAAGGCCCCAGGAGUCAAGAAGUGCACAGAGGGCAUGGAUGCGUUGGAAAGGGGAGGUGCUGGCCUUUUAAAGAUCAUAUGGCUUGGACAAGGAACAUGAUCUAACCAUGAUGUUCAUUUUUGAUGGAGUCCAGGCAUGAGAGAAGUACUGGACUUUUCAUUUCCUGCCCUGGGCCUUGCCAGUGGAGGAGCACUGAGAUCUGCUAUAAUCAACACUCUUAUUGGAAGCAUUACUGUUCCGUGAAAAAUCGCCUGUGCCUGGGCUUCUCUUGC
rnacentral:lncRNA from 1 species